rnacentral:rRNA from 1 species
AUACGGAGGAUGCAAGCGUUAUCCGGAUUUAUUGGGUUUAAAGGGUGCGUAGGCGGAUGAUUAAGCGUGAGGUGAAAUGCCACUGCUCAACAGUGGAACUGCCUCGCGAACUGGUUGUCUUGAAUGCUCCUGCCGUGGGAGGAAUGUGUGGUGUAGCGGUGAAAUGCAUAGAGAUCACACAGAACACCGAUUGCGAAGGCAUCUCACGAAGGGGUGAUUGACGCUGAGGCACGAAAGCGUGGGGAUCAAACAGGAUUAGAUACCCUGGUAGUCCACGCAGUAAACGAUGAUAACUAACCGCUGGGUCGUAGUGAUUCAGUGGCCAAGCGAAAGCGAUAAGUUAUCCGCCUGGGGAGUACGACCGCAAGGCUGAAACUCAAAUGAAUUGGCGGG